rnacentral:rRNA from 1 species
GGGUUGUGAGGUUAAGCGACUAAGCGUACACGGUGGAUGCCCUGGCAGUCAGAGGCGAUGAAGGACGUGCUAAUCUGNCGAAAAGCGUCGGUAAGGUGAUAUGAACCGUUACAGCCGGCGAUGUCCGAAUGGGGAAACCCAGUGCAAUUCGUUGCACUAUCGUUAACUGAAUACAUAGGUUAACGAGGCGAACCGGGGGAACUGAAACAUCUAAGUACCCCGAGGAAAANGAAAUCAACCGAGAUUCCCCCAGUAGCGGCGAGCGAACGGGGAGCAGCCCAGAGUCUGAAUCAGCUUGUGUGUUAGUGGAACGGUCUGGAAAGUCCGACGGUACAGGGUGAUAGUCCCGUACACCAAAAUGCACAGGCUGUGAACUCGAAGAGUAGG